AUACUUACCUGACAGGGGAGACACCAUGAUCACCCAGGUGGUUUUCCCAUGGUGAGGCUCGCCUCUCGUAUUCCGGGCGUGCUGACCCCUGUGAUCUCCCCAAAUACGGGAAACUCGACUGCAUCUUC
rnacentral:snRNA from 1 species